rnacentral:rRNA from 1 species
UACGGAGGGUGCGAGCGUUGUCCGGAAUCACUGGGCGUAAAGGGCGCGUAGGCGGCCUGAUAAGUAGGGGGUGAAAUCCUGCGGCUUAACCGCAGGGCUGCCUUCUAAACUGUCAGGCUGGAGCACAGUAGAGGCAGGUGGAAUUCACGGUGUAGCGGUGGAAUGCGUAGAGAUCGGGAAGAACAUCAGUGGCGAAGGCGGCCUGCUGGGCUGUUGCUGACGCUGAGGCGCGACAGCGUGGGGAGCAAACAGG